CCUACGGGGGGCAGCAGUGAGGAAUAUUGGUCAAUGGGCUUACGCCUGAACCAGCCAAGUCGCGUGAGGGAAGACUGCCCUAUGGGUUGUAAACCUCUUUUGUCAGGGAGCAACGCCGGCUACGUGUAGCCGGACUGAGAGUACCUGAAGAAAAAGCAUCGGCUAACUCCGUGCCAGCAGCCGCGGUAAUACGGAGGAUCCGAGCGUUAUCCGGAUUUACUGGGUGUAAAGGGAGCGUAGACUGCGAAGAAAGUCUGAAGUGAAAGCCCGCGGCUCAACCGCGGAACUGCUUUGGAAACUUUGUUGCUGGAGUACCGGAGAGGUAAGCGGAAUUCCUAGUGUAGCGGUGAAAUGCGUAGAUAUUAGGAGGAACACCAGUGGCGAAGGCGGCUUACUGGACGGUAACUGACGCUGAGGCACGAAGGCCAGGGGAGCGAAAGGGAUUAGAUACCCCAGUAGUC
rnacentral:rRNA from 1 species